rnacentral:rRNA from 1 species
CCUACGGGAGGCAGCAGUGGGGAAUAUUGGGCAAUGGGCGCAAGCCUGACCCAGCAACGCCGCGUGCAGGAAGAAGGCUCUCGGGGUGGAAACUUGUUUUUUCAGGGACGAAACAACUGACGGUACCUGACGACUAAGCCACGGCUAACUACGUGCCAGCAGCCGCGCUCAUACGGAGGUGGCAAGCGUUAUCCGGAUUUACUGGGUGUAAAGGGUGUGUAGGCGGGACUGCAAGUUAGAUGUGAAAACCACGGGCUCAACCUGUGGCCUGCAUUUGAAACUGUAGUUCUAGAGUACAGGAGAGGUAGACGGAAUGCAUGGUGUAGCGGUGAAAUGCGUAGAUAUGA